UCCUGGGUGGCUCAGACGGUAAAGCGUCUGUCUAUAAUGCAGGAGACCCAGGUCCCAUCCCUGGGUCAGGAA
rnacentral:tRNA from 1 species